rnacentral:rRNA from 1 species
GAUCCUGGCUCAGGAUGAACGCUAGCUACAGGCUUAACACAUGCAAGUCGAGGGGCAUCAGGGUGUAGCAAUACGCCGCUGGCGACCGGCGCACGGGUGAGUAACACGUAUCCAACCUGCCCUUUACUCGGGGAUAGCCUUUCGAAAGAAAGAUUAAUACCCGAUGGCAUAACAUGACCUCCUGGUUUUGUUAUUAAAGAAUUUCGGUAGAGGAUGGGGAUGCGUUCCAUUAAGGCAGUUGGCGGGGGUAACGGCCCG